rnacentral:tRNA from 1 species
GGCUAUAGCUCAGUUGGUAGAGUGUUUGCCUUGCAUACACAAAUCCCUGGGUUCAAUCCCCAGCACCA